AAUGGAAUAUUUCUCCGAAUUUUUUAUCCUGUAGAGUUAUAAGCUUAUGGAUAGGAAAUCGAUAGGGUAUAAUUGGAAACGGUUAUGCCUCCCAGUGUGGAAAGGAGAAUAUAAAGCUAUAGC
rnacentral:ncRNA from 2 species